UACGAAGGGGGCUAGCGUUGCUCGGAAUUACUGGGCGUAAAGCGCACGUAGGCGGAUUGUUAAGUCGGGGGUGAAAUCCUGGAGCUCAACUCCAGAACUGCCUUCGAUACUGGCGAUCUCGAGUCCGGAAGAGGCGAGUGGAACUCCUGGUGUAGCGGUGGAAUGCGCAGAUAUCAGGAAGAACACCAACGGCGAAGGCAGCUCGCUGGGACGGUACUGACGCUGAGACGCGAAAGCGUGGGGAGCGAACAGG
rnacentral:rRNA from 1 species